AUUGAACGCUGGCGGCAUGCUUUACACAUGCAAGUCGAACGGCAGCGCGGGCUUCGGCCUGGCGGCGAGUGGCGAACGGGUGAGUAAUACAUCGGAACGUGCCCAGUAGUGGGGGAUAGCCCGGCGAAAGCCGGAUUAAUACCGCAUACGACCUGAGGGUGAAAGCGGGGGACCGAAAGGCCUCGCGCUAUUGGAGCGGCCGAUGUCGGAUUAGCUAGUUGGUGGGGUAAAGGCUUACCAAGGCGACGAUCCGUAGCUGGUCUGAGAGGACGACCAGCCACACUGGGACUGGGACACGGCCCAGACUCCUACGGGAGGCAGCAGUGGGGAAUUUUGGACAAUGGGGGCAACCCUGAUCCAGCCAUGCCGCGUGCGGGAAGAAGGCCUUCGGGUUGUAAACCGCUUUUGUUCGGGAAGAAAUCCUCUGGGCUAAUACCCCGGGGGGAUGACGGUACCGGAAGAAUAAGCACCGGCUAACUACGUG
rnacentral:rRNA from 1 species